CUCUAUUCUCAUUUCUCACGUACAGAAGUACAUACAGUACCUUUCAAUACCCCUUUUUCUCCAUUUUCCCCAUUGUCAAUUUCUCACCAUUUUCCCCAUCUUCUCAGAUCUCAUAACUUCAAUUCUCCAAAAAUACUUCAAUUUUUGAGACGAAAAUCACGAAAAAAAAUACUCCAAAAUUGUAAGAGGAAAAUAAGCAAAGAAAUCACGAAGGCGGCACUCCGGCGGUGGUGGCUGAAGGCGGUGGUGGCUGAUAGCGGCACAGGCGGCCUCAAUUUCAUCUUGCAUGUCCCUUCCUUGAGUUGAUUGCUCGAAAUUCUCUUCAAGGUUGAUCCUUUCACCAGUGUCAGCGCUGCUCACCAUACUGGUGAACAUAUUAGGCACCGAAUCCGCGAGUCUCAUCCUGAAGUGGCUGAAGUCUUCAUACACCUAGGUGAAUGGGGAGUCAAAUGGAGCGGAAGUAUAGUGACUAGCCAUCUAACAAAUGGUGCAUAUAUGUUGGCGACUCUUAUUCAAGUUCCGGCUUUGUGAAGAUUUGGAUAUUUCGGCUUAUAUAUAUGUUGACAAUUUGUAUUUUGGACGAUCAAAUUAAUUAUCUAACUUUUAUUUAUUAUUAGUACGGUACGUAUGUCAUACCAAAAAUAGGCAAGUAAUAUUUUGUAAUGUACGUAUUUUGCAUUAUAAUUAUUAUAUAUAAAUGAUACUUUAAUUUGUUUAUGUUAGUA